GUGCAUGGGGGGGGGGCACAGCCUUCCAGGCAGGGAGGGGACAAAGUCCCCUGGACCUUGCCGGAGAUGGAGUCACACUGCUUGCCAUCUGGCUUUGUUGGGAAGAGAAAAGAAAUGGGGCUUCCGGCAGCCUGUUGGUGGCACCCCCAGCAGUGUGGGUCAUGCCAAAACUGGCAUCUAUGGCAUCGGGGACCCAGGGUACCGUGUGACACAAGUUAGUGUCGUGUGAUAGGGAGAUUGGAUGGCCAGUGUAUUUCAGAAGCCUCUGUGACCCUCCUGAGAGCUCUGCUAACUGUCCAAACAGAGCCACUUGUUUCUUUCUUUUCCUGAAUUGGUUCCAGUUGGCUGAAACACACCAUUUCCCAGCCUCUCUUCAAGAGGAGGCACCACAGCAGGCCUGACCGGUGGGAAGCAGCUAGUGUCUCCAAGGAAGGCUGAAAGCUUUGCCUUGCUGCCUCCUCCAGACACUGCUCCUGCCCCGUCACAUCCCUGACCUCCAGGAGGGAGGCUACGGCUGGAGCUGGAGUUCCACGGUGAGAUGACCCAGGCUGGUGGGGACAGGAUGGAGAAGCCUGGAGCCCACAGGCUCUGUGGAGCCACUGUCUUGCCCUCCUCUGGAGUUAUGCCUGCCGCUUUAGGCCCCUUGCGAAAGGGUCAUCAGUUUGAGAGCCGCUGCCAGCAGAUCCACGGUGGAGAGUCUACCAGCUCAAGCCCAGGCCAUUGGUGUGGCUUCCAGGCGACAGCCCCAGCUUUAGUCUCCCCUGUUGCAUGGUACCUUUCUCUCCAGUCACUGCUAAUGCUUCUCACAAUCCCCACAGAACUUCUCAGAGACCGACCUGAUGAAAAGCCUCUCCCGAAGGAACACUUCCAAUGAUCCCUGCUCGCAUGGCAUUCAAGCCCUUACCUCUAAACUCCAGCCUGACCCUCAGGUUCUCUCCCCAACUUUCACCUUCCUAUGGACAUACUCUUCUCUACCCCUACCUCUCCUCCAUGCCCAUGCUCGUAGCCUGUAUGAUGCUGAGACCAUUUGAAGCUGUUGUAGUUCCGGCCCUCCUCCUCUCUUUGCCCCACCCUCAGCCCUCCUCCAAGGUCUAGCCUUCCUUUGUCACUUUGCUUACCUCAGCUUCUGAGGGGAGGGGCUGUCCGUGUUGUAUCCCAGAACUCCACAGCGUCUGGAUGCAUUCAAGGUUGCAGUGUAUCUAUGUAGAGUCCAAAUGAAUGAAGGGAGGGGGAUACCCGCUUCCUCCGCAUCCUACUCACUUGGAUGCAGGGGUCGGUUAGUGCACAUGUGUCCUGCUUUGCUAACUGCGCUCCCACACUCCUCAUUUAACAGUAGCCUGCAUUCCCUUCUGGAAUUUGCCUCUUCCCCACUGUGUGUGGUCCCGGCGGGCCGAGGGGGAAUUCUAGCCUCCUUGCUCCUCUCAUUGUGAAAAACCAAAGGGCCAACUCCAACUCCCCAUGUCUCCUGGGUCCCACUGGGGAACAGGAACGUGUCUCGACCUCUCUUCUGGGAGCACGCAUCUGUGGAAAGUCAUGCAAAAUGUCAGCCAAGCUUCUGCAUUGCUGGCAACAGCUUGGUCAGUUUGGAGCAGGCAGGGAUUUGUUCCGUAGAAGGUGAGAAAGAUCACAGGCCUGGUAGGAAGACUGGCAGAUGGGCAGCAGCAAGACAGCCAGGUCACAGCUGGGAUCUUAGCUGAAUAGUCCUCAGGACACCAAUCCAUGUGACUACAUACAGGAUGCCACCUUGCUUCCCAUGCUGGGCACAGCAUGGCCAUCCUUCCAGCUGGUCACUGCUGAAGCUGCUGUAUCAUCCUGCCACUCACACAGAAGCACCUGGACAGUAUUCUAUAGCACUGCCUGCUACUUGUUCCCCAGGUGACACGUGAGUGACCCAUCUAUCCAUGGGUCUACGCCCUACCUCAAAGGAGGCUGGGACCUUGCAUUACAGAAUCCUACAAAGGAUACUAGGAUCUACAGUUCCAUCCACAGUGAGAGCAUGACUUAGCCGCUUGUCCACAAGACUUUGCAUCAGGGAAUUCAUGAAGCCUGGAAAGGAGGGAUCCUCAGGGGACAGACAAGCAGGAAGAAUGACAAAGGCCACUGAAUCCAGGGACAGGCAACAAAGCUGGAGGUUACCAUCUCGAGCUCAGAAACACACAGAUCAGAUGUUCUCUGCCGUCUGUAGUAGUCACAACUCCUGAUCUAAGUGUUUAGAAAGGCCCAGGCUCACACCCUCCCAGAGUCUACUCCUCUAGGAUCCUGUCACUUCUCCAAGUUCCCAACAUCCUGCCAAUAAAUUCCUUUUUGCUGAAGUUAA